CUAGCUUGAAUACGCUGGUUGGCCGACGCGGGUCAAAGUGUAGCAUCUGUUCUUAUCAGCCUAAUAUCUGAUACGGGUUGUAUUUCGACCGAACAUAUUAAACUUAUUUUUUGAAGUUUUUGAGUGCUUGAAGCCUGCUUCACCUCCGCCGCUGGUCGGCCCGGUAUUGCACUAUCUUCGGAAUCGGCCCAUGGUUU